UACGUGAAACCGUUCAGGGGUAAACCUGAGAAACCCGAAAAGGUCGAAGGGGGAAAUUCAUUCGCGUCUCGCCGUCGGCGGGGGGCGGUCGUGCGACGGAAGACGCGCUCGCGCGCGUCAUCCGCGCCCUCCGCUUCCGGAUCCGGUGGCGAACGCGUGCACUUUUCUCCCGGUAGGACGUCGCGAUCCGUCGGGCGUCGGUCUACGGCUAGCGGUGGAGACCGGGCGCGCGCUUCGGCUCGCGCCAGGACCCGCAUGUCCCGGCCGACUCGCUCGACGGUAUGCGAACGGUCAAGGGCCGCUCAACAGGAGCGUUCGGCCCGUCGCAAGCGCGUCAGACGCAUCGGCGAUCGGACCUCGUGCCGGUUCCGAUCUCUGGCGACUGUUGGCGGCGGAGCUCUCGAACAGACCCCUGACCGAUCUGCGACGCUAUAGCUUUGGGUACUUUCAGGACCCGUCUUGAAACACGGACCAAGGAGUCUAGCAUGUGCGCGAGUCAUUGGGACAAACUAGACCCAAAGGCGCAAUGAAAGUGAAGGUCCGCCUCGCGCGGACUGGGGGAGGACGGGCGGUUCGCCCUCAAAAGCGGCCGCCCCGCACUCCCGGGGCGUCUCGUUCUCAUCGCGAGGAGAGGCGCACCGAGAGCGUACACGCUGGGACCCGAAAGAUGGUGACCUAUGCCUGGUCAGGACGAAGUCAGGGGAAACCCUGAUGGAGGUCCGUAGCGAUUCUGACGUGCAAAUCGAUCGUAAGAACUGUGUAUAGGGGCGAAAGACUCAUCGAACUUC
rnacentral:rRNA from 1 species